rnacentral:rRNA from 1 species
GACGUAGGAUGCAAGCGUUAUCCGGAAUCAUUGGGCGUAAAGAGUUCGUAGACGAACUGUUAAGUAGAAUGUUAAAGGCCAGGGCCCAACCCUGGAAAUGUGUUCUAAACUGGCAGAAUAGAGCAAUGUAGAGGCAAGUAGAAUUCUGUGUGUAGGGGUAAUAUCCGUAGAUAUACAGAGGAAUACCAAAAGCGAAGGCAGCUUGCUGGGCAUUUGCUGACGUUCAAGAACGAAAGCGUGGGGAGCAAACAGG